rnacentral:rRNA from 1 species
CAGUAGCCGCGGUAAUACGGAGGAUCCAAGCGUUAUCCGGAAUCAUUGGGUUUAAAGGGUCCGUAGGCGGUUUAGUAAGUCAGUGGUGAAAGCCCAUCGCUCAACGGUGGAACGGCCAUUGAUACUGCUGAACUUGAAUUAUUAGGAAGUAACUAGAAUAUGUAGUGUAGCGGUGAAAUGCUUAGAGAUUACAUGGAAUACCAAUUGCGAAGGCAGGUUACUACUAAUUGAUUGACGCUGAUGGACGAAAGCGUGGGGAGCGAACAGGAUUAGAUACCCGAGUAGUCCCUGUCUCUUAUAA